rnacentral:tRNA from 1 species
AAGAUAUUUAGUCCAAACAAGACUAUUGAUUUCGACUCAAUAAAUUAUGGUGAAAGUCCAUAAAUAUCUU